GCUUGUAUUGAACGGUUUGCAGUCGAAAAAGGCUUUAUUGAAAACAUUGCAUUCUCCUGCUGCGUCCAGCUUUGGCAGACUUGACAUCGUGGAGGAACCGUUCCAGAGAUAGUUUACUUUGAGCACCGGCACCGGUUUUUCCGAAUUGCAUUGAACCAAUAAGAACAAAUGAGCGAGGAAAAUUUUCUCACCCACCAGGUAGAAAUAGUUGCCCCCUCAGGAAGUAAACCCCUCUUAUUGCCUUGGGAAAUACCACAUUCCCGAAUCAAGAACCGAUCAUUUCUAUACGGUGAUGACCAACUUAUCUGAAUCCAAAACACCUUUCAUCAUCUCGAUAAUAUCGAUGUGAUCGUUCCGUUUGGGAAACGUUGGGCCCGUUUUAGGCUACAGAAGUCGAUGCACGCAUGGCUGGAAAAUCUGUAAACUCCCUCUUUCUCUAUCAAUGUAAAUAAUUCGUGUAUUAAAGCAAAAUCCAGCGCAGUUUGUGGGAAACUUUCGUGGAUGACCGGACUUUUCAUUUCCUGGCCGAGAACACUGCCAUACACGUUCACGCACAUGUCUUCUGAGCUAAAAUCAUCGGUUAAACGAUCUAGUCCAAUUCAAAUGAUGUCCGCUUAAAAAAAAGGACUGGUAUCGAUCCGUUACUGGGGCACCAAAUUCAUUCCUCUAAUUGGCGAACCAAGUUGGAGA